rnacentral:tRNA from 1 species
GCACGGGUGGCGGAAUUGGCAGACGCGCUCGUUUCAGGUGCGAGUGCUCGCAAGGGCUUGUGGGUUCAAGUCCCACCCCGUGCACCA